rnacentral:rRNA from 1 species
GUCAGGAUGAACGCUGGCGGCGUGCCUAAUACAUGCAAGUCGAGCGAGAACCGAUUGACUGGAGAUUCGCAAAAUGAGAUCGGGGAAAGCGGCGGACGGGUGAGUAACGCGUAGGCAACCUGCCCUUAGCAGAGGGAUAGCCAUUGGAAACGAUGAUUAAAACCUCAUAAUGCUGAACCCACACAUGUGAGCUCAGCCAAAGAUUUAUCGGCUAAGGAUGGGCCUGCGUCUGAUUAACUGGUUGGUGAGGUAACGGCUCACCCAAGGUGACGAUCAGUAGCCGACCUGAGAGGGUGAUCGGCCACAUUGGAACUGAGACACGGUCCAAACUUCUACGGAAGGCAGCAGUAAGGAAUCUUGCACAAGUGGGGGAAACCCUGAUGCAGCAACGCCGCGUGAACGAUGAAGGCCGUUCGGGUUGUAAAGUUCUGAUCUUGGGGAAGAAGGAAGUGACGGUACCCAAGGAGAAAGCCCCGGCUAACUACGUGCCAGCCGCCGC